rnacentral:rRNA from 1 species
GAUGAACGCUGGCGGCGUGCCUAAUACAUGCAAGUCGAACGCUUUGUGGUUCAACUGAUUUGAAGAGCUUGCUCAGAUAUGACGAUGGACAUUGCAAAGAGUGGCGAACGGGUGAGUAACACGUGGGAAACCUACCUCUUAGCAGGGGAUAACAUUUGGAAACAGAUGCUAAUACCGUAUAACAAUGACAACCGCAUGGUUGUUAUUUAAAAGAUGGUUCUGCUAUCACUAAGAGAUGGUCCCGCGGUGCAUUAGCUAGUUGGUAAGGUAAUGGCUUACCAAGGCGAUGAUGCAUAGCCGAGUUGAGAGACUGAUCGGCCACAAUGGGACUGAGACACGGCCCAUACUCCUACGGGAGGCAGCAGUAGGGAAUCUUCCACAAUGGGCGAAAGCCUGAUGGAGCAACGCCGCGUGUGUGAUGAAGGGUUUCGGCUCGUAAAACACUGUUGUAAGAGAAGAAUGACAUUGAGAGUAACUGUUCAAUGUGUGACGGUAUCUUACCAGAAAGGAACGGCUAAAUACGUGCCAGCAGCCGCGGUAAUACGUAUGUUCCAAGCGUUAUCCGGAUUUAUUGGGCGUAAAGCGAGCGCAGACGGUUAUUUAAGUCUGAAGUGAAAGCCCUCAGCUCAACUGAGGAAUUGCUUUGGAAACUGGAUGACUUGAGUGCAGUAGAGGAAAGUGGAACUCCAUGUGUAGCGGUGAAAUGCGUAGAUAUAUGGAAGAACACCAGUGGCGAAGGCGGCUUUCUGGACUGUAACUGACGUUGAGGCUCGAAAGUGUGGGUAGCAAACAGGAUUAGAUACCCUGGUAGUCCACACCGUAAACGAUGAGUGCUAGGUGUUUGAGGGUUUCCGCCCUUAAGUGCCGCAGCUAACGCAUUAAGCACUCCGCCUGGGGAGUACGACCGCAAGGUUGAAACUCAAAGGAAUUGACGGGGACCCGCACAAGCGGUGGAGCAUGUGGUUUAAUUCGAAGCAACGCGAAGAACCUUACCAGGUCUUGACAUCCCUUGACAACUCCAGAGAUGGAGCGUUCCCUUCGGGGACAAGGUGACAGGUGGUGCAUGGUUGUCGUCAGCUCGUGUCGUGAGAUGUUGGGUUAAGUCCCGCAACGAGCGCAACCCUUAUUACUAGUUGCCAGCAUUCAGUUGGGCACUCUAGUGAGACUGCCGGUGACAAACCGGAGGAAGGUGGGGAUGACGUCAAAUCAUCAUGCCCCUUAUGACCUGGGCUACACACGUGCUACAAUGGCGUAUACAACGAGUUGCCAACCCGCGAGGGUGAGCUAAUCUCUUAAAGUACGUCUCAGUUCGGAUUGUAGGCUGCAACUCGCCUACAUGAAGUCGGAAUCGCUAGUAAUCGCGGAUCAGCACGCCGCGGUGAAUACGUUCCCGGGUCUUGUACACACCGCCCGUCACACCAUGAGAGUUUGUAACACCCAAAGCCAGUGGGGUAACCUUCGGGAGCCAGCCGUCUAAGGUGGGACAGAUGAUUAGGGUGAAGUCGUAACAAGGUAA